GCCUCUGUGGCCGAGUGGUCAAGAGCACUCUUAACCUGGAGGUGCUGGGUUCGAAUCCCAGCCAGAGGCA
rnacentral:tRNA from 1 species